rnacentral:rRNA from 1 species
GAUGAACGCUGGCGGCGUGCCUAAUACAUGCAAGUCGAGCGAACAGACGAGGAGCUUGCUCCUCUGACGUUAGCGGCGGACGGGUGAGUAACACGUGGAUAACCUACCUAUAAGACUGGGAUAACUUCGGGAAACCGGAGCUAAUACCGGAUAAUAUAUUGAACCGCAUGGUUCAAUAGUGAAAGACGGUUUUGCUGUCACUUAUAGAUGGAUCCGCGCCGCAUUAGCUAGUUGGUAAGGUAACGGCUUACCAAGGCGACGAUGCGUAGCCGACCUGAGAGGGGGAGCGGCCACAGUGGAACUGAGACACGGUCCAGACUACUACGGGAGGCAGCAGUAGGGAAUCUUCCGCAAUGGGCGAAAGCCUGAAGGAGCAACGCCGCGUGAGAGAUGAAGGUCGUCGGAUCGUAAAACUCUGUUAUUAGGGAAGAACAAAUGUGUAAGUAACUGUGCACAUCCUGACGGUACCUAAUCAGAAAGCCACGGCUAACUACGUG